rnacentral:rRNA from 1 species
AGAGUUUGAUCAUGGCUCAGAUUGAACGCUGGCGGCAGGCCUAACACAUGCAAGUCGAGCGGUAGAGAGGAGCUUGCUUCUCUUGAGAGCGGCGGACGGGUGAGUAAUGCCUAGGAAUCUGCCUAGUGGUGGGGGAUAACGUUCGGAAACGGACGCUAAUACCGCAUACGUCCUACGGGAGAAAGCGGGGGACCUUCGGGCCUCGCGCCAUUAGAUGAGCCUAGGUCGGAUUAGCUAGUUGGUGAGGUAACGGCUCACCAAGGCGACGAUCCGUAACUGGUCUGAGAGGAUGAUCAGUCACACUGGAACUGAGACACGGUCCAGACUCCUACGGGAGGCAGCAGUGGGGAAUAUUGGACAAUGGGCGAAAGCCUGAUCCAGCCAUGCCGCGUGUGUGAAGAAGGUCUUCGGAUUGUAAAGCACUUUAAGUUGGGAGGAAGGGCAGCAAGCGAAUACCUUGCUGCUUUGACGUUACCGACAGAAUAAGCACCGGCUAACUCUGUGCCAGCAGCCGCGGUAAUACAGAGGGUGCAAGCGUUAAUCGGAAUUACUGGGCGUAAAGCGCGCGUAGGUGGUUGGUUAAGUUGGAUGUGAAAGCCCCGGGCUCAACCUGGGAACUGCAUCCAAAACUGGCCGACUAGAGUACAGUAGAGGGUGGUGGAAUUUCCUGUGUAGCGGUGAAAUGCGUAGAUAUAGGAAGGAACACCAGUGGCGAAACGCGACCACCUGGACUGGUACUGACACUGAGGUGCGAAAGCGUGGGGAGCCAA